rnacentral:rRNA from 1 species
GUGGGGAAUCUUCCGCAAUGGACGAAAGUCUGACGGAGCAACGCCGCGUGAGUGAAGAAGGUUUUCGGAUCGUAAAGCUCUUUCGUUAGGGACGAACGUGCUCUUUGUGAAUAAUGAGGAGUAAUGACGGUACCUAAAUAAGAAGCCACGGCUAACUACGUGCCAGCAGCCGCGGUAAUACGUAGGUGACAAGCGUUGUCCGGAAUUAUUGGGCGUAAAGCGCGCGCAGGCGGGAUAUCAAGUCUGUCUUAAAAGUGCGAGGCUCAACCUCGUGAGGGGACAGAAACUGGUAUUCUUGAGUGUCGGAGAGGAAAGUGGAAUUCCAAGUGUAGCGGUGAAAUGCGUAGAGAUUUGGAAGAACACCAGUGGCGAAGGCGACUUUCUGGACGAUGUCUGACGCUGAGGCGCGAAAGCUAGGGGAGCGAACGGGAUUAGAUACCCUGGUAGUCC